AGCAGUGGGGAAUGUUGGACAAUGGGCGAAAGCCUGAUCCAGCCAUGCCGCGUGUGUGAAGAAGGUCUUCGGAUUGUAAAGCACUUUAAGUUGGGAGGAAGGGCAUUAACCUAAUACGUUAGUGUUUUGACGUUACCGACAGAAUAAGCACCGGCUAACUCUGUGCCAGCAGCCGCGGUAAUACAGAGGGUGCAAGCGUUAAUCGGAAUUACUGGGCGUAAAGCGCGCGUAGGUGGUUUGUUAAGUUGGAUGUGAAAUCCCCGGGCUCAACCUGGGAACUGCAUUCAAAACUGACUGACUAGAGUAUGGUAGAGGGUGGUGGAAUUUCCUGUGUAGCGGUGAAAUGCGUAGAUAUAGGAAGGAACACCAGUGGCGAAGGCGACCACCUGGACUAAUACUGACACUGAGG
rnacentral:rRNA from 1 species